GGAUGCGAUCAUACCAGCAAUAACGCACCGGAUCCCAUCAGAACUCCGAAGUCAAGCGUGCUUGGGCGAGAGUAGUACUAGGAUGGGUGACCCCCUGGGAAGUCCUCGUGUUGCAUCCC
rnacentral:rRNA from 1 species